UUUUCUGCAGGAAGCACAGGGCUGAAACACACUGCUGGGACUGAUGUGUGCUGGGGAACAGGCAGUCCCUGAGGGAGCCCUCUCCGCUACCGGGGCUAACCACUGUGCAGUGCUCCCACGUUAUUAGAUGGAUGCAGGUGUUCCUCAGCAUUGACUGUGCUUGGCAGACGUCCCACCAGCAGGGAGCAAACAGGAAGAAACCUCUUUUCAUCAGCAGAGCCCUUCCCCAACAUCUCCCUGGGAUCUGUUCUAUUACUAAGCCUUGGGAGCUUGGAAAUACCCUUUGGGCGUAAAAAUAGUGCCUGCAAAGCCAGCAGUCAGCUCCUUCUCUUGGACAAGCUGUGUGCUGUGUUGGUUUCUUUUUCUCAAUUUCCUGUUCCGAACUCUGUUCAAGGAAGCAGCGACUCUCCCUGGCCAUCCACCUGAGAGAAGAAAUUGCAAACGUGGAUUUCCUGGUAAACUGAGCUCCAGUCUGCGCUGCAGAAAUGGUCCCAGGGCGCUCGCUGGGGGAGGCCAGAAGUCAUCGCUCAUCUGCAUGGGGUGGACAUCAGCAGCAGUUCCCAAAGCAGAACUCUGUGCGUUUCCAGCCCAAACUCUGGCCUUCAGCAGUGCUCCUCAUACCCUCCCCAUUCAAUAAAUCAGCAUUUUCCAAAAACAAACAAACAAAAAAAAAAACAACAACCCAACAAAAGCUAUUUCUAUAGAAAAUUCUCAGUUGUCUCAACCGCUAACAGCCCAUACAAAUUGAAAACCCUGAGGACAUCUUCCUCUGCUAUGUUCCUGGCAUCACUUUCCAUGCAGUGUGCAAAUUGUUGUUUGCCCAGCUCUGCCUCCAGCGGAUGAGGAGAGAUUUUGGCUCCUGCAGCAGUGGAGAACAAUAGCAGAGUGUGUCCACUUCUGCUACUUCGGAGUUGUUCAACCAGAACGUAGUGAAGAGAGAAUUGGUUUUCUUUGGCUGUGCAGUGUAAGUUAUUGGUGAAUAAACAAGCCCAGGGGCCAAAGGAUGAAGUAUUCAUUGAUUUUUGCAGUGUUUAUUUCUGAGUUAAUUUUCAACCCACAUAAAGAGAGAAAGAAAUCACUGUAAAUACAAAACGUGCUUUAUUUUGUCUGUAUUAUGAAAAGAGCUUCAAUAAAAAGAUGAUUGCAUCCUU
ensembl:lncRNA